rnacentral:rRNA from 1 species
AGAGUUUGAUCCUGGCUCAGAACGAACGCUGGCGGCGUGCUUAACACAUGCAAGUCGCGUGCGCAGUUGCCGUAGCAAUACGGUGAUGGGCGCACGGCGCACGGGUGCGUAACACGUGGGCAAUCUGCCCUUUGAUGGGGAAUAACCCGCCGAAAGGCGGGCUAAUUCCGCAUAAGAUUCCCGGAACUUCGGUUCUGGGAUUGAAAGCAGCAAUGCGUCGAAGGAGGAGCCCGCGCCCGAUUAGCUAGUUGGUGAGGUAACGGCUCACCAAGGCUAUGAUCGGUAGCUGGUCUGAGAGGAUGAUCAGCCACACUGGAACUGAGACACGGUCCAGACUCCUACGGGAGGCAGCAGUGGGGAGUCUUGCACAAUGGGCGAAAGCCUGAUGCAGCGACGCCGCGUGGGGGAUGAAGCAUUUCGGUGUGUAAACCCCUUUCGACUGGGACGAAUGCCUCGCAAGAGGAGUGACGGUACCAGUAGAAGAAGCCCCGGCUAACUACGUGCCAGCAGCCGCGGUAAGACGUAGGGGGCCAGCGUUGUUCGGAAUUACUGGGUGUAAAGGGUUCGUAGGCGGUGCGGCAAGUUGGGAGUGAAAUCUCUGGGCUUAACCCAGAGGCUGCUUCCAAAACUGCUGUGCUCGAGUGUGAGAGAGGCGCGUGGAAUUGCAGGUGUAGCGGUGAAAUGCGUAGAUAUCUGCAGGAACACCCGUGGCGAAAGCGGCGCGCUGGAUCACUACUGACGCUGAGGAACGAAAGCUAGGGGACAAACAGGAUUAGAUACCCUAGUAGUCC